AUGGCCGAGACUGCUAUUCUUCUGGCCGUAAAGAAAAUAAGCAUCGCUAUGGCAGGGGAAAUAUUGAGCCUAGCAAAGCCCAUGUUUAGAAACAAGUCUGAAUUAGUCGCAGCCCUCCCGAGUAACAUGGAGUUGGUGAAAGAAGAACUUGAGAUUAUACAUGCAUUUAUCAAGAAAAUUAGCACAACUCAAUGCAAUGAUAUAGUCUUGGAAACAUGGUUACGGCAAGCUAGGAGGUUGGCUUAUGACGUUGAAGAUAUUGUGGAUCAGUUUAUCUAUAUUGUCGGUGAAAGCCAGGUGGCAUCAUGUGUGAGCAAUUUGAAGAAACUUUUCAAGAAACCCCAGUCCUUGUUUUCACUGGAUAGGAUGGCUACCGAGGUUGAGAAAGUAAAACAUAGACUCAGGGAACUGUCGGCUAGGCGAGACCGCUGGGUGCAAUCAAACGCUAGUGCACUCGAUGUUGAGAUACCGAACUAUGACAACAAACAAGAAGCAUACCAAUUCAGACACAGCCAAUCAGACAACGAGGAUGACUAUGUAGGUGUUGACAAAUAUAGAGAAAUCCUGAAUAAGUUGUUGUACUCUGAAGAUUGCUCUCUGUGUUUCAUUGCUGUUUGUGGUAUGGGUGGAUUGGGCAAAAGUUCUCUUGUUCACAGUGUCUACAAGAGGGAACUGUCCCAUUUUGAUUGUCGAGCAUGGAUUUCUGUUUCACAAUCAUGUAAAAUUGAUGAUAUUCUGAGAAACAUGUUAAAACAAUUCCGUGGUAACGAUGACAAAGUACAAUCUGAGGUUGGAAAGAUGAACAUUGAGGAAUUAAGAACAGAGUUGAAGAAAUUUCUAGAGCAAAAGCGCUUCAUGAUUGUAUUGGAUGAUGUAUGGAGAGGUGCAGUUGCUUUGGAAAUAAGGAAUCUCCUUUCUAACUGUGGGAGGAGAAGCAGGGUUGUCAUCACAACUAGAAUUGACGAGGUAGCUUCUAUUGCUGAAGAUGCAUGCAAGAUCAGGCUUGAGCCUCUAAACAAGCAGGACGCAUGGAUUUUAUUCUGCAGAAAGGUGUUCUGGAAAAUCCAAAAUCAUAUUUGCCCUCCAGAAUUGCAGAGGUGGGGUGAAAUGAUAGUGAACAAAUGUGCAGGCUUGCCAUUAGCACUUGUGGCAUUAGGGGGCUUAUUAUCACUAAGAGAUAAGAGUGAAGCAGAAUGGAAGUCUUUGUACAGUAAAUUAACAUGUGAAUUGCAUGACAAUCCAGAUAUAAAUCAUGUGGAGUGGAUUUUGAAUUUAAGUUACAGGCAUCUACCGGAUUAUUUGCAAAACUGUUUCUUAUUUUGUGCUAUGUUCCCGGAAGGCCGUCUCCUUAAGAAGAAGAAGUUGAUUAGACUGUGGAUUGCAGAAGGGUUUGUUGAACAAAGAGGGACAAUCAGCCUGGAGGAGGUUGCUGAAAGCUAUCUCAUAGAGCUCGUCCAUCGAAGCAUGCUUCAGGUUGUAGAGAGGAACAGUUUUGGUCGGAUUCGACAUUUCCGUAUGCAUGAUCUUGUACGCGAAUUGGCCAUUAAACUCUCCGAGAAGGAGUGUUUCAGUUCACGUUAUGAUGACACCUCAGGAGUUACACAGAUUGUGCCAGAUUCACGCCGAGUGUCAGUACUCCGAUGCAAGACCGACAUCAGAUUGACCUUAGAAUCAUCGAGACUUCGCACCUUAUUAGCAUUUGACAGGACCAUGCUGCAUUGUUCUUGGUCUCAUUACAUUCCGUCCAAAUCUAAGUACCUUGCAGUGUUGGACUUAUCAGGCUUGCCUAUUGAGACUAUCAGCCAUUCAAUUGGGGAAUUAUUUAAUCUCAAGUAUUUGUGCCUCAAUGACACCAAUGUGAAAUCACUCCCAAAAACUGUCAGCAGACUUCAGAAUUUAGAAACCUUAAGUCUUAAAAGGACUCAGUUAAUAAGUUUCCCUGCUGGGUUUGCGAAACUAAAGAAGCUGCGGCAUGUACAUGUCUGGAAAUUGCUAGAUAAUGCACAGUCAAGUUUCAGUCAGUCCUUGGGUGUUCGAACAACUGAUGGCCUUUGCAAUUUGAAGGAACUGCAAACCUUGGAUGAAGUCCAAGCAAAUGAACAAUUUGUGAGCAAAAUGGGAAAUUUAGCCCAUCUAAGGAGUCUUUAUAUUUCAGAUGUAAGGAGUAAGUACUGCUCACAACUCUGUUUGUCUACAUCAAAGAUGCAACAUCUUAUAAGAUUGCAUGUGAAAGCAAGCAACCAGGGCGAGGUGCUCCGGCUGGAAUCAUUGACAUUGCCUUCUCAACUUCAGACACUUGAGCUGACAGGACAGUUGUUGGGAGGGGUGCUGCAAUCUCCAUUCUUUUCGGCUCAUGCAAACACCCUUGUCAGAUUAAGUUUAUGUUGGUGCAAUUUUGCAGAAAAUCCAAUGCCACAUCUCUCUAAAUUAUCAAAUUUAACAAGCUUGCGUCUAAGAAUGGCGUAUACUGGGCAGCAACUGGGGUUCGGUGCAGGUUGGUUCCCAUAG
rnacentral:rRNA from 1 species